CCUACGAGCGGCAGCAGUGGGGAAUAUUGGACAAUGGGGGGAACCCUGAUCCAGCCAUGCCGCGUGUGUGAAGAAGGCCCUCGGGUUGUAAAGCACUUUCAGUGAGGAAGAACGCCUGGUGGUUAAUACCCAUCAGGAAAGACAUCACUCACAGAAGAAGCACCGGCUAACUCCGUGCCAGCAGCCGCGGUAAUACGGAGGGUGCGAGCGUUAAUCGGAAUUACUGGGCGUAAAGCGCGCGUAGGUGGCUUGAUAAGCCGGUUGUGAAAGCCCCGGGCUCAACCUGGGAACGGCAUCCGGAACUGUCAAGCUAGAGUGCAGGAGAGGAAGGUAGAAUUCCCGGUGUAGCGGUGAAAUGCGUAGAGAUCGGGAGGAAUACCAGUGGCGAAGGCGGCCUUCUGGACUGACACUGACACUGAGGUGCGAAAGCGUGGGUAGCAAACAGGAUUAGAUACCCUGGUAGUC
rnacentral:rRNA from 1 species